GGCCUGGUGGUGUAGUUGGAAACAUGUCCUCAAAUCAUGGAUAUAUUGUGAAUUGAUUGGAGGAAGUCCCUUGUUCAAAUCAAGGUCAGGCCG